rnacentral:rRNA from 1 species
AUACGGGGGGGGCAAGCGUUGUUCGGAAUUACUGGGCGUAAAGGGCGCGCAGGCGGGCGGGAAAGUCUCUCGUGAAAGCCCACGGCUCAACCGUGGAAUUGCGGGAGAUACUACUCGUCUUGAGUCCGGGAGAGGAGUGUGGAAUUCCCAGUGUAGCGGUGAAAUGCGUAGAUAUUGGGAGGAACACCGGUGGCGAAGGCGGCACUCUGGACCGGUACUGACGCUGAGGCGCGAAAGCUAGGGGAGCAAACGGGAUUAGAUACCCCAGUAGUCC